CAAAGCUGAGAGACUCAAGACGUGGGUCUGGAGGUCCAGGUUUGGGGGCCGCCAUCUCCUAGGCAGAACGUGGAGCAAAGCCCGUCUCAAGUUUCGAGCCCUCACAAGGCUCAGGGAACCUUACCAGAGACGCGGCGUGGCCAUGAGAAUCUUGUUUUCCCCUGGGAGUCUGAGAGGAAGUGAGCAGAGCUAUGUAAACCGAGACAGGGCUCUGGGAAGAGGAGGCUCCCCAGAGAAACGCACCACAAACACAGGCGCCACAGGGUCACUUGUCAAUGAAAUGUUGGUUGUUUUUCCAAACUAGGAGAGAUAAGAGGUGGUGAAAUCUUCCCUCUGCUUCAGCCGUUUACUAUAAAUAUUUCUUUCAAAAUCAACCCAGAUGAGGCUGGGCCUUAAGGAGAAACCAGGUACAGGAGCCCUGUUGUCCCGUCUCUGGGAGCUGCUGUGUCCGGGGCUGGCCACAAAAGCACCAGGUGCCUCUGAGGCUGGUGAGACCCCUGAGACCCCUUCGGAAAGGAUGCCAUCCUAAGAGCAAAGGAGAAGCUGCCAGAGGAAAGUCUCAUCCCAAGUCUUGGGCAGUGGCCAUGAAGGCAGCAGACACCACAGUCACUCUCCCAAACUCAAGCAUGGCUGGGCAGCAGGAGAGGUUGGCAAAGGUCAUCUGACUGGGGACACCUCCAGAUUUGCCAGAGCAAAUCUCAGCACUUGCUACUUGAGGAACAGCUGAGGCAUGAGGCAGCCUCUCACCUGGGUACAUUUUUAUCCACCUUGGCCUCACAGGGGCCUCGGCCCUCCUGGUCACUGGCCUCCAGCCUCUUGUGGUCCAGGGGGAUCCAUUCCAAGAGCAGCUGCGGUUCCCCUCCUGCGCAGGACCAGGCAGCUGCCCAGGGAAGACCAGAGCUCGCUGGAGAAGUGAAGUGUCAUUUCCAGGGACCCAGGCCACCACGGAUAUUCUCCUCUCCUCACAAAGGUCCUAAACUGAUAGGUUCUCUUGGGCCACUGAGAACUGCUCUGAAGUCUGACUCUGUUUUUUGACUCGGUCAGGGAGAAACUGGCCAGGACGGUCUGCCUUACUAGUCGGUAGGUUGGGUGGUUUGCAAGUAAGUUACCCUUUGGCUAACUAUCCUUAGUACUGAAAUUUCCAAAAUUUCUUUUUGGAGAGGAUGGAUUCUCUCUCUCUCUGCCACAUAAACCCAGCCACAGUGCCAUGAAGAAGGUCCCAUCUGCUCACGGCUUCAGGCUUACAGUAUCGCGUACCCAAAUGUGCGGUGUCCAAGAACUUGGGUGUCAUGCUUCUCCUGCAGCUGAUUCAUCCCUGUGGACAUGAGUGAGUGCUGCGUAAGGAACGGGCUCACACCUCCUGAGCAUUCCAUAGGGACAUCACUUGUGACUGAAGAUCCCCUACCUCUCAAGCAUUCUCCCAUUCACCCCAAGUCCCAUGACUUAAUCUCUCCUUGAAAUCUCUCUCUCUCUCUCUUUUUUUUUUUUUUGCUUAAGAACCUUGCCCCAACCUCUUUAAUUUAAAGAGCUUCUUGCUUUGUUGACUCUUUCCCACCCACUUCUGCUUUGGGGUUAGAGGAACAUGGGGGGCUUCAUGUUAGGAAGGUGGGGAAAGAGAGGAAGACUCUGGAUUCUGGAAGAUGGUAGAUUGUCCCUCACCAGUCACCUUGUGACACACUCCCUCAACCCUGGGUCCUGAAACCCUUGUUCUUCAAUGUCAGUCUGCUGAGAUUUGAUGAGUUUAUGAGGCCCCUGCUUGCUCAAGAGUGUUCGUCACCUCACUGACCUCGAAAUAUAUUAAAAGGUCAUGUUCACUUGUC